rnacentral:misc_RNA from 1 species
AGUAACCCGGAUUUUUUCUGCCAGCCUCCAGGUAUUGUAAGGUUUCUAUAGAUAUUUAAGAGAAUGCAGAACUCUUAAGAGAUAUGUACAUGGUAUAAUAAGUACAUAUAAUAGAAUAGAGAAAAUUAACACAUGUUUUCAGAAUUUUGUUCACGUAGUAAAUAAAAUGUCAGUUGUUUAGAAAUGCAAACCAAAAUAUUAAUUCCUGACUUUUUGUAUAACAGGAUUAGCCAUUCCACUCUGUCUACCUAACAACUAUAAGUGGAACAAGCAUACGGGCGAGUGCAUUAAAAUCGGAGAAGAGCGUUCUUCGCUUUAUGUUAUUGAGGAAGCACUCGACCAGCUUAAUACCAUUAAAGGUCCUGUAUGCGUCGUGUGCGUAUCUGGCCCAGCAAGGAAGGGGAAGUCUUUCGUAUUGAGUGAAGCUUUUAACCAACCAAACGUUUUCCGUCUUGGACAUGAAUUGGAUCCAGAAACCAUGGGAGUCUGGUUGUGGAUUGUGCCCGAGACCCGGGAUUCCAAUGGCCAGAAAUUUACAGUUGUUCUCUUGGACUCUGAAGGAGUCGGUGAUCCUUCCAGUGAAGACUAUGGUGAUCGUCAGAUCUUUACCUUAACUGUUUUGCUGGCGUCUUUAUUAAUAUACAAUUCAACAAGCGUUCCAAACAGACAUGACGUAGAGCAGUUGAAGUAUCCUUUACAGCUGUCCUUACAGAAAGAUUUUUAUUGAGGAAAAUACCGUAGUUAGUUAACAAACACAGAAGUACAAGAACAAUCAGAAACAAAUUACACAAAGGGUGCUGUUCUUACUAUAUGGACAAAUGUUUCCAUUAUCUUCCUUGCGCAUUACAAUUACAUUUAAAUAAGCAGCCACUCACAUUGU